rnacentral:rRNA from 1 species
CAUAGGUUAAUGAGGCGAACCGGGGGAACUGAAACAUCUAAGUACCCCGAGGAAAAGAAAUCAACCGAGAUUCCCCCAGUAGCGGCGAGCGAACGGGGAGCAGCCCAGAGCCUGAAUCAGUGUGUGUGUUAGUGGAAGCGUCUGGAAAGGCGCGCGAUACAGGGUGACAGCCCCGUACACAAAAAUGCACAUGCUGUGAGCUCGAUGAGUAGGGCGGGACACGUGGUAUCCUGUCUGAAUAUGGGGGGACCAUCCUCCAAGGCUAAAUACUCCUGACUGACCGAUAGUGAACCAGUACCGUGAGGGAAAGGCGAAAAGAACCCCGGCGAGGGGAGUGAAAAAGAACCUGAAACCGUGUACGUACAAGCAGUGGGAGCACGCUUAGG